AUUGAACGCUGGCGGCAUGCCUUACACAUGCAAGUCGAACGGCAGCACGGGAGCAAUCCUGGUGGCGAGUGGCGAACGGGUGAGUAAUAUAUCGGAACGUGCCCAGUCGUGGGGGAUAACGUAGCGAAAGCUACGCUAAUACCGCAUACGAUCUAUGGAUGAAAGCGGGGGAUCGCAAGACCUCGCGCGAUUGGAGCGGCCGAUAUCAGAUUAGGUAGUUGGUGAGGUAAAGGCUCACCAAGCCGACGAUCUGUAGCUGGUCUGAGAGGACGACCAGCCACACUGGGACUGAGACACGGCCCAGACUCCUACGGAGGCAGCAGUGGGGAAUUUUGGACAAUGGGCGCAAGCCUGAUCCAGCAAUGCCGCGUGCAGGAUGAAGGCCUUC
rnacentral:rRNA from 1 species